rnacentral:misc_RNA from 1 species
CUCUCCCCUCCCGUCCCGUCCACCCAUAAAUAGCCGCGCAUCCGCUCCACUCCGCUCUCGCUCCAUGCCCACCGUCUCCUCCCUCCACUUUAUUACCCACGUCGCGACGCCGACACCGUCCCGCGCUCCCUCCCCCUGCCGCACCGCACCCACGCUACGCUCUCCAUGUCAUACGCCCACGCCUCACGCCACCGCGGCGGGGGCAUGCCGCCCACGACGGCGCUCGCGGCGAAGGUGGCACUGGCGUCCGCGGCGCUGGCCGCGUUCGCGUCCCUGGCGCGCCUCGCCGUCCCGCGCCUCGUGGCCGUGGCCGCCGCCGUGCUCCCGCGCGCCUGGGCCGCCGCGCGCCUCUGGCUCGUCCCGCCCUACCUCUUCGUCACCGUGCACCUCAUCAUCCUCGUCAUCUGGAAGCUGUCCGACCACAGGCACUCCCAGCAGCAGGCCGCCGCCGCCCAGCACAAGGACGACCCCUGGCCGCCGGCCGCGGAGCUCCCGUCCACCGCCGCCGCCGCCACGCCGGCCGUCAGAGCCAAGGAGGAGCAGUACGGCCAGCCCCUGCCAGCUGAGUUCUCCUCCCCCUCCCCGGACUCCGGCGGCGGCGGCUCCUGCGUCACCACCGAGUCCGACGAGGACGCCUCCUCGCCUUCCCCGGACGUGCUGUGGCGUAGCCUGGCGCCGGCGCCGCAGGAGCGCGCGGUCGUCCUGGAGCGGGAACCCUCGCUGCCGCCGUCGCAGGCCGUGGACGGCGACGACGACGACGACGACCUGGACGCCACGUGGAACGCCAUCAUGCAGAAGACGCGCCCGGCGGCUCCGGCUGCUACCCCUCCAGCUCCAGCUCCCGCUCCCGCCGCGCACCAUCAGCAACGGCCGCCACCGAGGGCCCGGGACCCGUCGGUCGGCGCCGAGGAGAUGAACCGGCGGUUCGACGACUUCAUCAAGAAGAACCGCAACUCCUUCGGCAGGCAAUAGGCGACCUCCGCUCCGUUACGAUCCGGCCACCUCCCCGCCGUACGAUGCGUAUAUACAGUACAAGGAGACAUGCAUCUUUGGUUUUCCAUCUCGGUGUGCCGCCGGAGCUAGCGGAGGGAGGCGGGUCAUUCGAUUCGCCAUGCUUAGGGUUGGAGAAUCACUAGUAUAUACAGAGGAAGAAUCCGUUCUUGAUCAAGAUUAGUCGGCUGCUUGGUUAAUUAGCCGUGAUGAUGAGCUGCUGUCGUGUUCGAUCGGAGGUUGGCGUGGCCGCUUUCCGCAAGGAAAGCAAGGAAUUGGUCGGCUUCUGCGCUACCAGUCCGGUCCACUUCGUUCACCUUUCCCUUUCGGUGCCACCAACAUCUAACUGUACAUGCAUGCAUGCUUGCUUGCUUAGUGCUGACCGCCGCUAAUGCGCUGGAUAUUUCUGGGAGCUAGUGGAAACGAAAGUGUACUCUGAAUUUCAAGUUACUGUCAAAAGUAAGAUCCUGAUCUGACGAAGAUGUACUAGG